rnacentral:rRNA from 1 species
UACGUAGGUGGCAAGCGUUGUCCGGAUUUAUUGGGUUUAAAGGGUGCGUAGGCGGCGCGGUAAGUCGGGUGUGAAAUCUCGGGGCUUAACUCCGAAACUGCAUUCGAUACUGCCGUGCUUGAGGACUGGAGAGGAGACUGGAAUUUACGGUGUAGCGGUGAAAUGCGUAGAUAUCGUAAGGAAGACCAGUGGCGAAGGCGGGUCUCUGGACAGUUCCUGACGCUGAGGCACGAAGGUCAGGGGAGCAAACGGG